rnacentral:rRNA from 1 species
AUACGGAGGGUGCAAGCGUUAUCCGGAUUCAUUGGGUUUAAAGGGUACGUAGGCGGAUAGAUAAGUUAGUGGUGAAAUCCCGAAGCUCAACUUCGGAACUGCCAUUAAAACUGUCUAUCUUGAAUUUGGUUGAAGUGGGCGGAAUAUGACAUGUAGCGGUGAAAUGCAUAGAUAUGUCAUGGAACACCGAUAGUGAAGACAGCUCACUAAGCCAAUAUUGACGCUGAGGUACGAAAGCAUGGGUAGCGAACAGGAUUAGAAACCCGAGUAGUCC